GUUCAAAUCCUCUCUUCAAUU
rnacentral:tRNA from 1 species